rnacentral:rRNA from 1 species
GUUGAACUCGGCAAAUUACCCCCGUAACUUCGGGAGAAGGGGGGCCACAGACUGUCAUACCCCACGCGGGUGGCAGCAGUAGGUGGCCGCAGAGACCAGGGGGAAGCGACUGUUUACUAAAAACACAGGUCCGUGCGAAGUCGUAAGACGAUGUAUACGGACUGACGCCUGCCCGGUGCUGGAACGUUAAGGGGACCGGUUAGUCCGCAAGGGCGAAGCUGAGAACUUAAGCGCCAGUAAACGGCGGUGGUAACUAUAACCAUCCUAAGGUAGCGAAAUUCCUUGUCGGGUAAGUUCCGACCUGCACGAAUGGCGUAACGACUUCCCUACUGUCUCAACCACAGGCCCGGCGAAAUUGCACUACGAGUAAAGAUGCUCGUUACGCGCGGAAGGACGGAAAGACCCCGGGACCUUCACUAUAGCUUGACAUUGGUAUCCGAAUUUAAUUGUGUAGGAUAGGUGGGAGGCUUUGAUCCGCGGACGCCAGUCCGUCGGGGAGCCAACGUUGAAAUACCACUCUGUUGACUUUGGGUAUCUAACUUCGGACCGUGAUCCGGUUCAGGGACAGUGUCUGGUGGGUAGUUUAACUGGGGCGGUUGCCUCCUAAAAUGUAACGGAGGCGCCCAAAGGUUCCCUCAGCCUGGUUGGCAAUCAGGUGUUGAGUGCAAGUGCACAAGGGAGCUUGACUGUGAGACUGACAGGUCGAGCAGGGACGAAAGUCGGGACUAGUGAUCCGGCACCUGCGAGUGGAAGCGGUGUCGCUCAACGGAUAAAAGGUACCCCGGGGAUAACAGGCUGAUCUUCCCCAAGAGUCCAUAUCGACGGGAUGGUUUGGCACCUCGAUGUCGGCUCGUCGCAUCCUGGGGCUGGAGUAGGUCCCAAGGGUUGGGCUGUUCGCCCAUUAAAGCGGCACGCGAGCUGGGUUUAGAACGUCGUGAGACAGUUCGGUCCCUAUCCUCCGCGCGCGUAGGAGACUUGAGAAGAGCUGUCCCUAGUACGAGAGGACCGGGACGGACGAACCUCUGGUGUGCCAGUUGUCAUGCCAAUGGCACGGCUGGUUAGCUACGUUCGGAAGGGAUAACCGCUGAAAGCAUCUAAGCGGGAAGCUCGCUUCAAGAUGAGGUCUCCCACCCCUUAGAGGGUUAAGGCCCCCAGCUAGACCACUGGGUUGAUAGGCCAGAAGUGUAAGCCUGGUAACAGGUUCAGCCGACUGGUACUAAUAGGCCGAGGACUUCACCAA